AGGCUUGGCUUUCUCUCAAAGUCAUGUCCAUACGCCAAAUGAAAGUGAUUAUGUGGGUAUGUGCCCUGACCUGAAGGUGAAGCAACGCCCUGAACUAAGGGACAGACCGAUUGAUGGGUGAUGACUUCCAGGAUGGAAAGGGGAAGAGUUAGGGAACGAGCUGAACGGAGCACCCUCGGGCACAGAUGCGAGCUGGCACUGGGAAUCUUCAAAGAACCGUAAAUCCUUCCGCGGUCUAAAAAGUGUCCCAAACUGUUGGUGAAGGCUGAGUCACUGCUCUCUGAAGGCAAGGUAAGUUCUUAGGAGCCCCUGGAGUUAGUGCUGCCUUUAGCCAGCCAACUUGGCGUCUUCCUUCCUCUGCGUUUCUUAUUGGAUCUGUAGCAAGGACUCAGAGACUCUGAACUCAGCCAACAGUGUGUUCGUGCCUGAACAGACUAAGUGGAUACAUAUUUUCUCAGGAGGGCGUGCCGCGGAGUAAGUCACGCACUAUGCUGUAUGUUAAUACAGUACUUGGGGGGUAUUUUAGACAGAAAAAAAACACACUUAUAAAGCAGAAAACGUGGCACUAAGCAGACCAGAGAAGUUCCUUCAUUCACAGCGUGGGGACUAAAAGAAGGCAGAGGGUUUGACCUCCUAGCAGCCCGUGUGGGGGGUAAACGCUUUGCUACUCGGUUUAUGCACAUUUUCUUGGAUAACUUCCCAAGCGCCAUUGAGAAGGAGGUUCUAAAUAAAUCUUGGGAAGCCAGCGGAUUUGGAAUCCAGAAAUAAUACAGAUGAAAUAUAACUGAACCAAAUGGUAAAUGCUGGGGCACACCGUUAUUUGGGGAUUAAAGGCGGAAAUGGGGUUGCCAAAGGCCAGAGUCAGGUCCUGAGCCUCGGUCUCCUAGCAGGGAGGUGUUUCCGGAAUAGCGCCAUGAGUCACGGAGGACAGUCCUGUACCUGCAGCAGAGAUGUCUCAUGUGCGUUGACAUUUUACAAGCUCCUAGGGAAGAACGCAAAAUGAAGUCACUUGAGAUACUUUUGUACUAACGUUAGAAACUUCACGUGAACGAGGGGAACGCUGAGUGUGGUGCCGCAAACAGAUCUUCAGUGGCAGCUUGAGUGGGCUGCCCCAAGGUUGGUGAUGGCAGCCACUGGGGGAGCGGACCCCACAGAUGCCAACCAGAAGUCCAGAGAUGGCUAGUGACCCCAGUGACUUUCGAAGGUUGGGGUCUAAGUGGUUUCUGGUGCUUCUGAGGCUUUUGUCUCUAUCCUUGAUCCACCUUCCUGGACUCUGCCUCAGGGAAGCCAGGAGUACACACCCACCCUGCCACAGCCCCACAGAUGUCUCCCUGCCUGAACAGACAAGGCUGUGACAAGACAAGAUUCCUCUGGUGGGAGAAGAGCCACAGCACAAGGCUACACACUUCAGACUGUCUUGACUUAAUCUACUGAAGUCAUCAUCUCACCAAAACAUGGGGAAAGUAGCCCAAAGCGCUGUGGAGCCAAAUGAAGUCACACCCUCCCGACCCACACUCGAACGUGCUUUACCCCAUCCCCUAUAGACAUCUCUUCUCAUCAACUAACCAAGUCACACCCCAUUGGAAGCUUUCAUAAGUCACGGUGUGCAACCACAGAAUUGAAAGAAACACAGGAAGCUACUGAUUCCAGGUACUUCUCUUAGCAGGGUCUCUCUUUGCACUGAAGCUAUGGCCACCCAGCCAUAGGGAACCUUCCUGUCUCUACAUCCCAAGGGCGAGAAUCAUGUAGGCACGAUGUCAAGUUCUGCUUCUCACAUGACUGCUAGGAACCUGAACUCAGGCCUCCGUGCUCCUAAAAUCUUGGACAACACACAAACCCUAAACUUAUCUUCUACCAUAAUGAAGAGAGGCUGGAGCAGAGCAGUGGUUUCUUCUGCGAAGUGUACAGGCCAUUGCUAUGCUCUUCUCUGUCCUGAGCCUGAAGAGUCAAAAUGAGUUUUCUAUGUCUUCUAACAAAAGCAAGAUGGAUAAUGGGAAUAUCAGGCAUCAUUAAUAUCUUUCAUUAAAUUCUCAAAGCACUUAGUAUGAAUACCACUGCUGAUGUGUCGGGCAUAAACCUGCCAUGUGAGCGGCCGGGUGCCGGGGACGCAGCCCCGCCGCUCUUAUUUCAACAGAUGGCGCCCGACGUGAUGGGCUAAAUCCACUUAAAAACCUGAGAAGGCUUAAAAAUAAGGGAGAGAGUGUUUAACACAGAUUUUUGAUGUUUGUUGGUGGCGUGCUGUAGAGAAAUUUCCUGAUUCAGCAACAGCAGCAGAAAAAAAGCUGCGUCAUUUUAAAGCUGCGGCUUCCUGGGGCUGUACUGCCAGCGUGAACUCUGGCUUUAAAGCAUUUCAAGGCUUUUAUGGGACUGGAUGUUUCUGUUCCCACUUGGGAUGGAAAGGAGAGUGCUCUGAGACCAUGCAGAUGGCUCAGCGCUCCCGCCUGCACCUGGGCAGAAGGCCGAAUCAGGCUUAGGCAGGCGGAAGAGCAUGGCGGAUUCCUGCCGUCAUACAGAGACGCGGUUCAGACUGCGCAGUGCUCUGCGUGUCAGAUUUGGCUGUAACUUGGAUGAAAAGAGUUUCUGUGCCACACACUCAGUCUCAGAAUUAAACUGCUGAGUGCACCAAUGUGGACUUGCUGUGUGCCUGGAACUGUGAAUGGUUCAGGGGCACCAAAUGGAUCUGAGGCAGGAGCUGCUGCUCCUUGCUGACCUCAGGCAGGAACUACCGUUAUUGCCAUAAUAACAGUGCAGUUAAGGCUUAGACUGGGCAGGACACAGGCAGUACCCUAUUACCUGUACAUGGUGCAACUUAAGUUUUUAAGAAGUGCUUAACAUUUUAAAAAAUGCUCCUGGAUAGUAAAAAAAUUACAGAUUCACAGUAAAACAGAUUCAGACACUGUUGGAUGAAUGUACAUGUAUGUAGGCUUGGGAGAGAGAAGAAAAAGAAUAUAAAGAAUAAAGUUAAUGUCUUAAAAAGAAAAAGGGUAAAGUCUUUAAAGAGACAGAG